rnacentral:rRNA from 1 species
CCUUUUGAAUUUAAUUUAAGGUCUAAUCUGCCCGCUGAGGAAUUGAAUGGCCGCGGUAUUUUGACCGUGCGAAGGUAGCAUAAUCAUUAGUUUCUUAAUUAGAAGCUGGAAUGAAGGAUUGAAUGAGAAAAUAACUGUCUCAAUUUAAUUUUUUUAGAAUUUUAUUUUUAAGUUAAAAAGCUUAAAUUUUAUUAAAAGACGAGAAGACCCUAUAGAGUUUAAUAGUUAAAUUUAAUUUAAAAAAAUUGUUUAUAAAAAUUUAUUUUUUUUUUAAUUAUUUUGUUGGGGUGAUAGAAAAAUUUAAUUAACUUUUUUUUUAUUUAAAUACUUAUAAGUAAAUAUUUGAUCCAAUAAUUUUGAUUAAAAGAUUAAAUUACCUUAGGGAUAACAGCGUAAUUUUUUUUAAGAGUUCUUAUCGAAAAAAAAGAUUGCGACCUCGAUGUUGGAUUAAAAUUAAGUUUUGGUGUAGAAGCUAAAAUUUUAGGUCUGUUCGACCUUUAAAACUUU